GGACUACAGGGGUUUCUAAUCCUGUUCGCUCCCCAUGCUUUCGCUCCUCAGCGUCAGUUACAGCCCAGAGACCUGCCUUCGCCAUCGGUGUUCCUCCUGAUAUCUGCGCAUUCCACCGCUACACCAGGAAUUCCAGUCUCCCCUACUGCACUCUAGUCUGCCCGUACCCACCGCAGAUCCGGGGUUAAGCCCCGGACUUUCACGACAGACGCGACAAACCGCCUACGAGCUCUUUACGCCCAAUAAUUCCGGAUAACGCUCGCACCCUACGUAUUACCGCGGCGGCUGGCACG
rnacentral:misc_RNA from 1 species